GUUGUUGAACUGGCGACGUCAAACAAAACAAAGCAAGCUAAACGUACUGCUCAAACCUUUUAUCGCUUGUUGGUAUUACUUUAGUUAUGGAUGCAGAUGAACUUCUGAAGAAUGCUAAGGCUGUAGCCAGUACUAUGUCGGACUACCAGCAUAACCUGCCCCCAGAUACACCGGACGACGCGGGGUUC